rnacentral:tRNA from 1 species
UCCCUGAUAGUCUAGUGGUUAGAACUUGGUGCUUUCACCACUGAAACAUGGGUUCAAUCCCUGAUUUGGGAA